AAAAAGACUAUUUUGAGUUGGGUCAUAAAAAAUGGGCUCAGCCUUCCAUUUCUCGAUAAUUAAUGUGGAUUAGGAGCCCAAAAAUCAUUUUUGAAGGGGAUCCAUUAUCCAUCAUCAUGAUUUCAUUUGUAGCAGUACUAAUCAAAGAAGAAUAUGUAAAUCUAGUUAUUAAUCACUACUUAGGGUCAAUUGGUUUAGCUGUUCAUACCAGAUAUCAGCUGCAUGAAUCAGGUGAACCAAACGUUAUCUUCAUAAUUAGUUAAUAAUCACUACUUUUGUUGCAGAAUUGACUCUUGCAACUACCCACCCUUCGAAGAAGCAAAAUAUAGUUCCUUUUGGUUUAGAGAAAACGCGAUUAUUUCUACUACAACAAAGAGAACACCACCAUAGGUGUCCAAGAUUACUGUCCAAAAAGCUGCUUCAUAUUAUAAGGUGCAGUGACAGUGGGUUUUCCACUCCAAAGUAGCUUGGCUAAUUGGCUGUUGGCCAUUUCAGUAGUAUGUGCACCAUCAAACCAAAUAUACUCACUUGGUUUACUGCAUAAUUCAUAUGAUUCAUUCCUAUCUCCACAUCCACUUCCCCUGUAUGUCCCACACCCGCAACAGGCAGCUUUCCCCUCCUUGAAGCC